GAUGAACACUGACAGAAUGCUUAACACAUGCAAGUCAACUGUGGCGGACGGGUGAGUAACGCGUAAAGAACUUGCCUCACAGCUAGGGACAACAUUUGGAAACGAAUGCUAAUACCUGAUACUGUGAGAGAGCUUUGCGUCCCAUUAGCUAGUGGGAGAGGUAACGGCGCACCAAGGCGAGGAUCAGUAGCCGGUCUGAGAGGAUGAACGGCCACAUUCGGACUGAGACACGGCCCUUACGCCUACGGGAGUCAGCAGUGGGGAAUAUUGGACAAUGGACCAAAGUCUGAUCAAGGAAUUCUGUUUGCACGAUGAAGUUUUCGGAAUGUAAAGUGCUUUCAGUUGGGAAGCAGUACCAACAGAAGAAGUGACGGCUAAAUACGUGCCAGCAGCCGCGGUAAUUC
rnacentral:rRNA from 1 species